CUAGUGCUACGGCGUUUAUUAAACACAUACGACGUAAUCACUUGUUGACCAAUGAAGAUGUUCAUAUUAUAUAUUUACUAGUAUUUAUAGAAAGACAAACAAAAAAAUCAAGAAGUUUGACAUUUAUUGAUGAUAAUAAUUUUAACCUACAUUAUAAAGUAAAGAGUUGUAAGAGAAGAGAAGUAUUCUACGGCGCAUCAGCUUCGGAGACGGCCGCUAUCAUGAACAUUCGCUGUGUGGUUUUGCUUUGUUUUAUUUCUUUUUGUUCUCUGAUCCACACGACAAGGUCACACCCUGGUUUUAGACGGAACCUUUUCCCAGCAUACCGCAGAAUCUCUUCAUCCAAGAUUUCCAGUUUGUUUCCGAGCUACAUCAAGAAGUUGGUCACUCGAACCCCCAUCCGAAAGCCACGCCAGUUUUGGUUUUCCUCCAGUGACAAGGUUCCCAUUCUUUACAAAAAUGGAUCAAGGAGCCCUGUCAUUUCUAACAGAUUUCUUAACAGAGGUUGCCCUGUUCUAAAGUGCCCUACCUUGAAAAUUUCUUCUAGAUGCAAAGCACCUGUUCUAUAUCGAUAUAGUGGCAGAUUGUGUCGUGGUUGUUACAGAAAUGUUUGCAAGUAGUAUUACAACCAGAAGAGGAUAUGAACAUGAUAUAAAAAUGACGAGUUUCCUUUUCUGCUGGAGGAAAGUCGGUUGGAUAAAAAUGUAUUUGAAUUUUGUGAUAAAAGUAUAUGUGAAAUAUAUACAUGUAUGUGAUCAAGAAACAGAAACACAAUGAAAUGUCCCUAUGCGACAGUAGGUGACCCUGGUAAUAGCAAUGACGAAUGUGCGUUGUUGAAGACAUGUGAUCCGUUAAUCUAAGUGAUUUUUCUUGACAAUUUAAUUUCAUAAAUCGAUUUUAUUUCGUUAAUUUCAUUUAAUAUCUUUUUAUUCAAAGUUGUUUUUUUUGUGUAAUUAUGAUGUAUGGCUUUGCAGGCUCUAUGAAUGAAGACGUGGAAACGCCCUCACAGUAUAGUUUUUGUACAGUGUUUGAGAGAAAUAUCUCUUUGUUCUACAACUUGUUCAAUGUUAUUACUGAGUGAAUAUCUUUGUAAUACUUGUAUUACUAUAAUCUUUUUUUCUAAACCGCAAAAAUAUUGUGUAGGUUUUCCCUCGUCUUCAAUCCACUAACUAUGAAUUUUAAUACGUCCUAAU